GGCUAAGCAUGGCAUAGUGGUUUGAGUGUUGGACUACAACUCUAGAGACCAGGGUUCAAUUUCCAGCCAGUCA